rnacentral:ncRNA from 1 species
GUGUCGGUUCGCUCGCGUCGGCCCUUGAAAAUCCAAGUGAGGGAGUGUGAUUUGCGUGCCGGACCGUACCACAUCCGCAGCAGGUCUACAAGGUGAACAACCUCUAGUCGAUGGACCAGUGUAGGUAAGGGAAGACGGCAAAACGGAUCCGUAACCUUGGGAUAAGGAUUGGCUCUGAGGACUGAGCCGGUCGGACUGGGGACCUGAAGCAGGAACGGCACUGCACCGGGACUGGGCGGGCCUCACCGUUCACGCGGCGCGGCGAAGCCAGGACCAGCGUCGGGACCUUCCUGUGGAAAGCCUCAGCUGCGCGGCGUCUGAGGGUUUUGUCCCGAAGUGCUUGCUUCGGCCUGCAAAAAACAGUCAACUCAGAACUAGCACGGGCCGAGGGAAUCCGACUGCCUAAUGAAAACAAAGCAUUGCGAUGGCCGCUGGUCGGUGUUGACGCAAUGUGAUCUCUGAUCAGUGCUCUGAAUGUCAAAGUGAAGAGAUUCAUCAAAGCGCAGGUAAACGGCGGGAGGAACUAUGACUCUGUAUGCUAUGCUAUCUUCUACUGCUGAUAUCGCCUACCCUUGUACCGGUCGGCCUUCUGCACUCAAGAGACGUUGAGGCUUUUCCAAGCUUCUUGCAAGUUCUUCCUCUAGAGCUCGCGAACAUCUGCGAACUGCGUAUUGGUGUGCUGUAUUCUUGCAGGAUCUGUGCAGAGAAGAACAUUCCCUGGGGAUAACGCGAGAUUUUUCCCAGGGAUGCGCCGGAGUAAAACUCUUAGACCGGAUAGUGGUCCUGCAAGUAUACCUGCACGACAACUAAACGGUCCAAGAGAAACUAGCAACAACGGCAUUUUCUAUAGCAAAUGUCAUUUUUGCUAGUUUUCCGUUUUAUUCUCAAUGUCCCUCUUUAUUUGCUACAGCAAUUAUCUUCAAGUUGCGGU